rnacentral:misc_RNA from 1 species
UUUCCGUAGGUGAACCUGCGGAAGGAUCAUUAUUGUAUAACCGAGGUGCGAGGGCUGUCGCUGACCCGAAAGGUCGUGCACGCCCGAGUGCCCUCACACACAUCCAUCUCACCCCUAUGUGCACCACCGCGUGGGUCCCCCUUUGGCUUGUUCGGAGGGGGGCUUACGUUUUCACAAAAACUUUGUAUGCAGUGUAGAAUGUAUUUUUUGUUUUUGCGAUCACGCAAUCAAUACAACUUUCAACAACGGAUCUCUUGGCUCUC